UGGGGAAUUUUGGACAAUGGGCGCAAGCCUGAUCCAGCCAUGCCGCGUGCAGGAUGAAGGCCCUCGGGUUGUAAACUGCUUUUAGACGGGACAAAACCCCUUUACGUGUAAAGGGUUGAUGGUACUGUCAGAAUAAGCAUCGGCUAACUUCGUGCCAGCAGCCGCGGUAAUACGAAGGAUGCAAGCGUUAUCCGGAAUUAUUGGGUUUAAAGGGUGCGUAGGCGGACUAAUAAGUCAGUGGGGAAAGCCUGCAGCUUAACUGCAGAAUUGCCAUUGAUACUGUUAGUCUUGAGUACAGUUGAGGUAGGCGGAAUGUGUCAUGUAGCGGUGAAAUGCUUAGAUAUGACACAGAACACCGAUUGCGAAGGCAGCUUGCUAAGCUGUAACUGACGCUGAGGCACGAAAGCGUGGGGAGCAAACA
rnacentral:rRNA from 1 species